rnacentral:rRNA from 1 species
AUGUUUGGUGUCCUUGGCAUGGAAAACAUGCACACCAUUUUUCCAAGUGAUCCAGCUACACCCUGGGUCUUUCUUGAUUCCGACAUCUUUCAUCUCCUUCCUCACAUAAGUUGCUUCUGCCCACCUGGACAACUGAUGCAAGCAUGUUUGAGAGCAGCACGUGAUUGCCAGAGUCCUGAGGGUCAAGUUCAAACAACUUCUCAGCUGCAAUCCUUCCCAGCUCUGUCUUCCCAUGCAUCUUGCAUGCCCCAAGUAGUGCUCCCCAGAGAGAAAUGGAAGGUCUCAUUGGCAUCCUCUGUAUAA